rnacentral:rRNA from 1 species
AUUGAACGCUGGCGGCAGGCCUAAUACAUGCAAGUAGAACGCAGUUGCGAACGGGUGAGUAACGCGUAGGUACCUGCCUCAUAGCGGGGGAUAACUAUUGGAAACGAUAGCUAAUACCUCAUACUGUGAGAUGGACCUGCGUUGUAUUAGCUAGUUGGUGAGGUAAAGGCUCACCAAGGCGACGAUACAUAGCCGACCUGAGAGGGGGAUGGGGCAACCUGGGGAUUGGACACGGCCCAGACGCCAGAGGGAGGCAGCAGGUGGGAAUCUUAGGGAAUGGGCGGAAGUCUGACCGAGCAAAGGCGGGGGAGUGAAGAAGGGUUUCGGAUCGGAAAGCUCUGUUGUUGGGGGAGCGGUAACUAACCAGAAAGGGACGGCUAACUACGUGCCAGCCGCCGCGGUAAUUC